UGCAGUCAAUGUCAGAAUUAUUACAGUCAACAGUCGACUCGUUUCAAAACCUUUGGAAAACGUUGUAGUUGACAUUCUGGACCCGAGAAAUGUGACUGUGGAUCGAACUGAAAUCAAUUCAGCUCAAGAACAAAAAAUCACAAGAAGAAAGAUACAACUGGGACUCAAUCCUGUCAUUGGAGAUUGGACCAUCCUAGCUAAAUAUGGAUUCAAAAACAAUUUGACCUCGCGAUUCAAUUUUGCAGUAAAAGAUUACG